CUGACCAGAGUUGGGGGCCAGGGAGGAACCUGCGACCAAGGUACAUACCCUUGACCAGAAUCAAACCCGAGACUUUUGGUCUGAAGGUCAAUGCUCUAUCCACUGAGCCAAGCCAGCUAUGGCUUACUCAAACUUUUUAUGAGUUACCACUUUUUACAAUUUGACAAGGAACCCAAAUAUAUCUUUAUACAUUUAUUUUUUUUUAAAUGACAAGUGGAAUUAUUAUUAGUUGUCUUGUUUUUAGGAUGCUUGACUAUCAUAUUAGAGAAUAUAACUUUCCUUCAUUCUUCAUAAUUGAUGAUUAAAAUUCUAUGGAAACAAUAUCAUACUUUAAUUUUUCACUUAUUUGUAGAUGUUUAGGUUGUCUUAAUUUUUCCUGGUAAUAUUUUUACACAAACACUUUAAUUUGAAAAUCAUAUCUUUAUAUUUGCGUUAAAAUGAUGAAUGGUUAAGCUUGCUUUGUUAUUUUUCUGGCUUUCUCCUGGGAAAGUGAAGUCAGUAAAACUUUUGUAUCCUGAGAAUGUAAGUUGAGGAGUGCAGUUCACCAGCGACUAUUAUGGAACAUACUGGGGCUCAUGAAAUGUUCAUCGAAUGAAUGAAUAAAUAAAUGCAUAAGGAAUUGUGGCCUGUUUCAUAUUAAACAUUUAUUUCGUGGAGUAAUGUUUCAUGGAGUCAACAUGAUAUAUCAGAAUCUUUGCAUGUGACUAAUGUAUUCAAGAGGUCCUUGUUUGUCAUUCCUACUUCAUUUGGGUCUUAAGUGUUUACUAGUACAUCAUGUUUAUGAAUCCUCUCUAUGCCAGAACGAACCUUCAGAAAUCUCUGCAACAUAUGUGUGAACGUCUAGUUAUUUUAGUACCAAAUGGCUAUGCCCUGCCUUUUUGUUUGAGACUUGAGUUUAGUUUCUGGUUGUGCUACUUAGCCAGAUGUAUGGUCGUGGAUAUUUACAAGUCCCCUGAUCUCAAGUUCACAUUAGCAAAUUGAUGGUAAUAGUAUGUGAUUAUGUAUGACACACACACAUAAACAUGUAUGCAUACAGUGAAGGGUUAGCCCAGUGCUUAGAAUCAUUAAGUGCUUAGUACAUAGAAAUAAUUAUUGUCAGUUUUAUUGUUAUAUAGAAAUGUGGUGACAAUAUGGACUAUUUGAUUAGUGUCUGUUCAACAAGAAAAGCAAUUUAUUUAGGUGCAGAAUAGAGGAGUUUUGAGUUUUGGAGGAGCAGUAGUGACAUAUACUAGUAAGCAAGGAUAGGAGAUGGUAUAAAAUGGCUAAUCUUGUCUAUACUGAUUCUCUCUUCCCCAAGUAAUUGGCAGUAGUGCAAUGGUUCUCAAAGUGUGUUCCAGCUGGCUUCCCCAAGACCCUUUCAUGGGGUUUGCAAGGUGAAAGCUUUCUUAACAAUAAUAAGAUGUUAUCUGCCCUUUCGCUUUCCUUCUCUCAUGAGCUGGUUUUCCAGAGGCCUACCCAAUGUGUGAUAUCAAAUUGAAUACAGAAACAAAUAUAAGACUCUAGCUGUCUACUACCGUUAAGCCAGGGAAUAAAGAGAUUUAUAAAGAAAGGAAGAAAGAAAAUACCAUUCUUGUCACUAAUUUCUUUUGUUCUGGGAAAUACAAUUAUUUUUUCAUUAAAGUGUUAUUUGUGUUCUCA